rnacentral:lncRNA from 1 species
CCAGAGCAUCUUAUAGCUGGCAGAGUAAGGAGAAAAAAUAUAACCUUUUUUCUUUUACUUUGCUUCUAAAUAUUCUUUUAGAAAACAUACAACAAAUUUUAAUGUAGGUCAGUGAGAGUUUUAACAAUAAAAUGUUGGAGUCUUUUGUCACUUUUAGGCCUUUUUAAAGUAGUCCUGGCUCAAGAAUAACAAGAUAGAAGGCUUUUGGUUAUUACUCACUGUCUUCAGAAGUACUUUUACUUGUUUUAGUGGUUUCUAAUUAAAAUAGUAGUAAAAAAUGUCACCGUAGAGGUAGUGGUUUUAAUCUCACCUUGAAUGCUGGGACCUAAAGAAGAGACUGUCAGGAUCUAUGAGACCAGUUAAUCCACCUCCCAGCUGGAAACUAUGAAGAUUUAAUGCCUUCAUUAGUACUUAUUGAUCGGAUUCCUUGUUUCUGUAUUAUCAGCAAACUCCUGUGCAGUUGAGCUGUACUUCUCUUAACAAAGUUUAUUCAGCUGUUAAUAAUUCCAGCAUUCUUCCUUCCUCUUACCCUUCCACUUGCAUUAAAAAAAAAAAAAAAUCCCCUGAAGUCAUGCCAGAAAUAGUUCCUAAAGGAAAGAAAAACUUUUUCAUCCUAAGUUCUAAUAACUUUGUACAGAAAGCUUGUGUCUCUCAUUAGCCCGAUUCAUCUUGAACUGUACCUCCAAAAUAGCAGCCUUGUUUGACUGCUGACAAGCAUUGCUAUGUCUACCUUAAUAAUACAGUUUACUUUGCUUCACCCUGCGGGGUAAUUUCCUAAUUGGUAGGAGAGAUGCACCUUCCUUUGCCCGAAGUAUCUUAGUAGACUUUCUCCAACACUGGGGUGUUCAGCUGGUUCAGAGAAUAGGAUGCUUAGUGGGACUGUGGUGGCCAAGUGUGUAUCCUGUUUGUUCUUUUGUACUUUGCUUCACGGCCUAUUUUUUAUUUCCCGAUUGUGUUUGUUUCAUAAUGUCUUAUUUACUUAAGGCUGCUGAAGCUGUGACCCUCUGUUCUAAUUGUCUUCAAAUGUAUUCCUGUGUGCCUCUGUAUUCCAGCAGCGAUUCUUUUUUUCCUAACACAUUGCAGAUAAAUUUAUGAGAAAUCAUUCUUACGCUGUUCUUUGUUUUUACUUUCGUGCAUAUAUAGAUAGUUUGAAAACUUCUCCAGAAUGAUUUCUUUUAGGGAGCACAGCUCUGUCAUCUGCGCUUUCUUUGCAUCGUUUUCUUUUCCUUUCAGUUCUAUCUGUAUUUUCAGCUCCUUGUCCACCCAUCAGCUUAUUUUAGCCAAUGUUUCCUUCUUGAUCGCUGAAUUGUGUCACUCUUGUUCCUUCCUGCAGCCUGCCUGUGUCUUACCCUGUUGUUUUUACAACGUUCUUGCUUUCCACGACUCCUUGUUUGUUUGAAGGCAGACCACCGCCAUUACUCUAGUUUGGGUGUAGUUCACUUUGUACUACCUGUUGUCUUUUGUUGUUUUUUUUUCUUCCCCGUAACUCUAAAUUUUACACAGCAGUUUUAAAACUCUUCCUAUGUCUUCUGUAUUUGCAGUGACUCAUGGUAUUUCCUAAUCUGCCACUUUCUGCCCAGCCCUAAGUGUGAUGUCAGUAGAGUUUUUUUCUAUUUUUUUUUUUAAGUGAACAUAGAACUGAUGAAAGUUGCUGUUUGAUGUAACAGGAAGCUGAACUAAUCUGUUCUCAAAACAGGCACUGCCUCAGCCAGUGCACUCAGGUUUCAUCCUGCCAAGCUCCCGUGUCUCGCACUUGUGAGCAAAUCGCUUUUCUCUGCAAGUGCCUGGCUGUUUUUUUCCUUCAGGCAUCAGUUUUCACUGGUGAGGACUCCUGGGAGAGCUGUCUUCUCAUGACUCUCACCUGAAGCGUAGCUCUCUGGCCUUCAGUUCAUGGUCAUGAAUGCAAGAGGGUCUUGGGAUUAGAGGUGCCCUUUUAAGAAACGCUUUAAAGAGGCUGGGGAGCAUGGGUGACCUGCAGUCUCAGAGAGCAACAUGCUCCCUUUACAACUCCUGGCAUAGCUCUUGUUGUGGUGAAGAAUAGGAUGAUCUUGUGUGUUGUAGGGACAUUCAUUGGCUGCUCAGGAAUAGGAAUGUGCUUGCAGAUUGCCUGUUUCUUUCAAACCUUUUUUGGACUUUUGUUGGCUCUGUACGCAGCACUUACACUUUUAAGCAGAGAGAGACUGUGGGCUCCAGCUCUAGCCCUGUCCAUUCUGCUUGAUUUUUCAGUGUGCUUCCUGGUCCAGCCUUGACCUGUGCUUAAGUGUCUACUUGAGAGCUGGGAGGAAGCAAAGGGUGACUGCUCCCAAAAGGCAGGGGGAAUAGCGCUCUUCUCUCCUGGCCUCCUGCAUGUAGAAGGAUUGGCUAUGUGGACACAAGCUGCAUUAUGCCCCUUUAUUGUGUGGUUUCAGAACAGCUCUAGCAUGAUGCAUUUACUUGUACACAGACAUUGCCAUAUGGACCAGCAGGGGAGUCUUUGUACUGCUUGUGGCACUCGGGCAGAUCGUGUUUGUAUGGACCUUGUUCUUAGGACUUGGUGACAGGAUCUACGGUGUCUUGAAUGAAAGAUGUGCCCAGUACUUUUGGGGACCAUUGCUGGACGAUGUGGCUUGCUGCCUGACUGCAAGUAUUUAGCAUGUCUGUGCUUUUUUCAGCUUGCUGUUUUGGAGGGCUUCUUAGAAGUUGUGGAAGUUUGUAAAUGAGUGCAUAUAGGUUAAGGAGAAGAUGCAGUUUGUCAUUUACCAGGGAUGACUGAAGAGCAUGUGUUGAUAGUGUCUAUCUUAUGUUGAAGAAGAAUGAUGGAGGCAUAUCCAUCUAUGGCAGUAGCAUCAAAGGGGUAGAAACAGAAAGAAGACUGGAAUGGUAAUAGACGUUUAAGAUUUUUAUUGCUCAAAGGAAUGUGAUUACAAAAGAAGAAAAUGUUCAUCCUUAUAGGGAAAGCUAUGAGAGGUUUCUUUUUGAGUAGAUGAAAAACUAGCUCCUUAAAUAUCUCUCAGCAAAUCGUUGGAUUUUGAAGAAGUGUUUUCAAGGAUGUUUAAGAUUUCACUGAAAUAUAAGAUUCAGGGCUUUUAAAGUAUUUUUUUUUUAUCUUUCCUUUUAAUGUCACAAAUAUUUUCUUUCUGCUUAACUGUUUUUUCCCUUCUUUUCAUUAACAAUAUAAAGGGCAUCUGGUGAAUCUUACGUAUUUGGUGAAUGUACUUACAGAUAACCUUUUAAUUUAUUCCUUCACUUUCUGUGCUUUACUGUUACUUCACUGACUGGCUAAGUGCUGUUUGACAAUCUCAAGACACGUCUUUUACCAUUAUUUUCUUAGGUCACUGAAAGUUUUACUGUUCUGUCUGGUGUUUUACUGUAAGCUUGACUUGUAAUUUAAUAGCUUAUCUACCUUGUUCCUGUGUGAGUCCCACCCCCACUCCCCAACAGUUUAUUAAAGCAUAAAUCUGGCUACAUGCAGGAGUGCCUGUCCUUUCUCUAUGUCUCUUAGCAUGAGUAGUCUCGGGUGGCUCUAGCCAUGACUAUGCUGUGAGCAUAGCUAGCAUCACUGUGAUGGGAUACAUUUGCUGAUGGUAACCUUGUCUGGGACAAACCUCGAUUCUUGUUGACAAGAUGAUGUUGAAGUUGUUACUUUGAUUUGGAUGCAAGACUGAUAUUUUGUUUGUUUUCGUUCAUUGAGCUAUGUGUACUUUUUUUUUUUGUUGAACCAUUCUUGUAGCACUUUGCAGAUUCUUGUUUUAGCAACCUUGCAUCUGAAUCAAAGCUCCUAGCCAUUCUGCAGUGCCAAGACAUGCUUCUCCCCUAGCACUUCUGAAAUGGGGUUUUUGAAUUUCUUGUUUGACAACAGUUCUUCUGGUGCUUAUGGAUCUGGAAGGAGGAAUGGUAAGGAAGCUGAAAUCUGCUCUUUCUAUAUAUAUCAUGAUGAAAAAGAGAACAUAAGAACAGAUGCCCAAUUAUAUUAGGAAAUAUCAUAAAAAAGACUCUUGUUAAAACAUGAAGUGGUAAGUGCAAAGUGGCUUAUGCUUUGUUUAGAUAUAGAAUCAUUAAGGUUGGAAAAGACCUCCAAGAUCAUCUAGUUCAACUGUCCACCUACCACUAAUAUUUCCCACUGAACCAUGUCCCUUAGUAAGACAUCUACGUGUUUCUUGAAUGCCUCCAGGGACAGUGACUCUGCUGCCUUCCUGAGCAGCCCAUUCCAAAGCCUGACCGCUCAUUCUGAAAAGAAAUUUUUCCUAAUACCCAUCCUGAACCUCCCCUGAUGCAACUAGAGGCCAUUCCCUCUAGUCCUAUUGCUAGUUAUGUGGGAGGAGAGGAUGACCCCCAGCUCACCCCAACCUCCUUAUAUAGAGAUGUCCUGUGCUGAACUGCAUAUUUCUGAAGAAUGCAAAUGGCAUUACUCAAAUACAAGACUGUCCACUAAUUGGAGGUAUGGCAGUAGUUGGAGAUAAUCUGAAAUAAUGACAACAUCAUGUUACUGAUCCAAGGAGAAAGUUGCCAUAGCUUCCAGUGACUUCAUUUACUGUUGUGUUUAUAAUUUUCCAUAAAUGGGUUCCAGACGUGGGGAAUCUUGGACUUUUGAAUGAAAAACAGAACGAUGCAUCAUUCAGUUCAAGGUCAUCAAUGAAAGGAGUUUAAAUGUGCUUUUAUUAAAACCACAAAGUGAGGUAUUGAUAAGUUUUGCUUAGACCUGCUCUUGCUGCCACAUCUCUAAGAUAAAUUUUCAUUAAAACAAGGAUCACUCUUUUAAUAAAUAACGUUGUAUUUGCUGAGAAAGAGCAAGAACAAUUAAGACAACGGAUUUUACCACUGACAAUAAGAUUUGGGAGGAAAAAAAGAUGGAAGAGAAGACAGAGAAGAGAAGGUAUCUUUCAAAUGCUUCUAGACUGUAAUUCAUUGUUUUCUAGCCUUUUAUCAUUUUCUGUCACACAAAGUCUGUAUUAUAAAUGCUAAAAUUUGCAGCUGUUUUACUUCACCCUUUGUUAUGAAUUUAUCUGCAGAAGCAACACAACUUCUUUCUUUUUUGUAUUUACUCCUAUUGUGCUGCAACCAGUGCAGUAGGUUAAGAAGUGAAGUAUUACAUUGUGCUGAGGGAGGGCUUCUGUUCUGCAAAGGGAUAUUUUUCGUAGAUGUUUCCUAACUCAAACCUGCAUCUUUGCUUCAGUUGAGAAAUCUUUGUGAAGUUACUUCAGAGCUAUUGAACUUCAAAGUGAUAGUUAUCUCUUUAGGAGGAGGGUGGUCAGUAAAGGGCAAAAGUAAGGAGAAAUAGAUGAGCAUGUUUGAAAUCAUGGAAGUAAUGGUGAAAUAAUGUAUCUUCAGUCUGUGUGUUAGUUGCUGAUCCCUUCCUGCGUUGCUAUUCAGAAUAUGCACUGUCAUUUGCAUGUGAAAGCGUGGGUAACAGUGGCUUCCUGUCUUUUAUUGCUAGACAUUACACACGUUCCUUUACUAGUGUUUGUCUUUUGGCUGUGAAGCACUGCAUGGGAAGUUUUAGUCCUUCAGUCUGAUCACAGUAGUAUCAGCUGAUGCACAUCUCAGUGAGCCUUUUGAAUUCAGUUUUGGGAUUUUUUUUUUAAUUAUUAUUUUUUAGCAGUUAAUUUCUAUUUGAUACUUGUUUGGUAAUAAUGCUGGACUAAAAACAAUUAGCUAUGCAAUAAUGGGUUACUUUGGGAAAACACUGUAAUACAGAUACUGUCAUCUUAGUGCUGUAAUGCUUUCUUUUUUUGGAGCAGUGCAUAAUUUGGGUACCACCCAAUCAGUACUGCUCUCCUAUUUUAUGUCUUCAUGUUUUCAGUUAUUUUGCAUGGCUUAUCUGUUGGAACUCUGGGAAUGUGCUCAUCUCUGCACCUGCGAUGGAGCGGUUGAAGGUAAAGGAACUGAAAGACAAAGGCCACUAACUUCUAAAAACCAAGCAGCUCAGUGGAUACUAGUUAUUCUGAUGUCUGGAUGUUCCUGGAGCUUUUUCUUCUCUCUUAACUUCCUUCAACCACUUCUUUCAACCUGGCCUUUUUACCUUAAAGGAACAUCUGCUAGCUUAUAAGGUGGGCAGAGCUUAUAUUUUCUUUCAGCAGCCUUGCAUUCAUGUAUCUCUCAUCUUCAUAGCUGCUAACUCAUCAGCUACGUGUAUAAUUGAGUCAGAUUUGAUAGGAAGUGAUCAUGAGGUCAAAAUGUAUUUGAAGGGCUGGAUUUUGCAGUUGAAAAGCCAUUAAGAGAAUCGCAUGUCUUGUUUCUUUUGACCUUCUAAAAUGGUGCGUGUGUGUGUUGCAUGUUUAUUGGUUCUCUCAGUAGUACUGAGGUACUACACCACUAAUCAUGGCUCUAAUUUCUUUGCAUUCCCAAAACUAUGUUUUAUACACUAAGCAAAGAUGCAUCAUUUCAUGGGGAGUGGUCAGUGCUGUUCUCGGUAGCUUCUUCCCUCUCCAGUGUAAUUUACCAAGGGACUCUGCAAUUGAGUCAUCGUAAUGGGAAGUGCAUCUCAACUGAUGUAAUGCAGUUGUGUUUCCUGGAAACAGAACAAAAUUGCAGCUCCGCUUAGUUUAAUGCAAGAUUUGUCAUUGAUUUCAGUUGCUGUGGUAUUUUCUUCGGUCAUUUGAUCUUUUUGUUGUAGCUGAGUGUCCAUGCCUGGUGAUCUGAUUUCCUGACAUUGGUCUCUCAAAGCAGCGGUGGAAGUUUUAAUUCACGAGGAGUAUUUAACAAAACAAGAGGGAAUUUAUUCUGAAAUAUUUCACAGCCAAAUCUGAUUUUAAUAAAACUUCUAAUUUCUUCCUCUGUAGAUUAUGCUAAGACAGGGAGUCAACUAACUGAUGUAGCAGGAGAGACUAAAUGCAUAACACUGCAUGAAUUUGAUAGAUACACUCUUCAAAUGGGUUAAAUACCUGCUAUGUAUUACUGCUGUUAGUAGUAUCUUUUCUGAUGGCAAUGUGUUGUUUCCUUUCCUAGGCAAAACUAAAAUGUGUUAAGUUGAAACAGUAUGACCUUGAUCCUGUCUGCUGCAGCACUGUUUAAUACAAAUCGCUUUACUGUAUUGUGUAUUAAUCUCCACUACCCUACCAUCAACAUCCACCUUGAUGUUGUGGGCCAACAUAAUAAAAAUAGGAGGCGUUACUUUCAGUGCAGCCCUCAUACUGCAUGCUGUAGGGCAAGGCACCCAGUGGUAAGCAUAAAUCUUGCUGGAGAAAACUUCUAGAAGUGGCUUAAAAGCAGUAGGAUAAAGUGAUUAAAUGAUUUUAUUAUAAAAACAUACUUUGUUUUGUUUAACAGCUUGAAGAUAUUUGUUCUGUUUACGGUCAUUUCAUGGCUAUUCAUUUUUCUAGGCCAAAGAUGUUUUUGCAACUCAAAUCCCAUUAAAACUCUUUAAAUGAGUGGGAUUCACUGACAAGAAUGGAACACUUGCACGCAAAUGUGUAUUCAUAUAAACAUUUCAAAUAGAUAUUUUUUUUUAAUGAGGAUGAUAUAUCUCUAGCUGCGUUUUGUGAAUUAAAUGAAGACUGAUUAAGUUUUGGAUUUGAGGAAAAUAAACUUGAAAGGACACUAUUGGGUGGUCUGAACUAAUGAAUAAGCCAUGUUAAACUAGUGAAAGCUUUGUUCUUUAUCACAGUUUGUUUUUAGAGUCUGGUGCACACAGUUUCUACUUCAUAGCAAUCUCAUCUGAAACUAUUGUCGUCCUGUUAGUUGCUUUUUUUUGUCAUUUAAAUCAUACUAAACAGUUCAGUUUUUUACAUAGCCAUUUUGAAGAGUCAUAAAUUGGCACCAGCAAGGGAACAAACUGCCUUUUGUGUUUGUAAAGAAAAUGGAAAUGAAGAGAAACGGAGGGUGUUAAAAGUGGCAAUGUGUUUUUCUAAUGCAAUUUACACAGCUCUGCUGCUCAUCUUUCCUUAUGUGCAUGUCUGACAGAUGGUGGAAAACACCUCUCCUUCACCAAGUCUGCAGUUCCUGUUUACAACAAAGAUGUCUUUACAGCAGUUUUUAAGAAAACAAAACAUUAAAUAGAGGUUGUAAAAAGGGCAGCACACAGAGUAUGUAAAAAGGGCUCUUCUGAAUCAAAAGUUGUGUUUUGGGAUUACAACAAGCUUUUUACUCCUCCAGUGUCUGUGGCAAGUAAUAACAUUACGUUAAGGACAGUGCUGUUUUUAUAGCAGUUGGAAUAUUAGAACGCACAUACAGAUCUUUUGUUCAAGUUGUGUAGGCAGGCAGCUCCUCACUUGCCCUUCAGCCAGAUGGGCAAUGUUCAGAGCUGAAAGUCCAUCAGUAUAAUUUGUUUUAUUCUGGGGGGGAUGUUUGUAGAAGCAUGCUUAGUUCAUUACGUUGAACUGCAUUUUUCUCCUUGGCAAAUGAAAAGCAAGCAGAUGCCGUAUUUCAGGAAAUGAAUGGCAUUCGGCAUAUUUCUGACUCUUUUACCUUCCAGACCAACAUGUAACAACAGUUUGUUCAAGUUUGUAUUCAAGCAUUUGCUAGAUUUAUCUUGAAUUUAGUUUAUUUUCCUGACUUUUUCUUUGAAUUAAAUUAAAGACUUUCCAUUCUUUUUCUUGACUGGUGGACUUGUGGCAGUCCAUAGUAUCACUGUAGACUAGUUUACCAUUCUUCAGUUUUUCAUUUCUUACUUGCAUAAUUGUUUUUCAGUGCUCUGGCAUCUCCGAGUGGAGCACUGGGCAGAUGAAGUAACUGUCUGACUGACUUAAAAAUCAAAAGGAGGGAGGGGAAAACUGCUUGUAAGAGCUGUGGUUUUGCUUGAUUACCUGUUCCCUUCUGCAUACUUACUUGCUGAUUUUAAGUUAUGCACAGUUUAGAUUUGUUGAAUGUAUAUUCUUUACUGGUUUAUUGUAUAGAAUUCCCACGUAUCGUUCAUGUAAAAGCUGGACAACUGGUGGAAGGUAGGGAAGUAGGUAGAGUACUACUGAGUACCAGUACUCAGUAGAGUACUACUGAGUGCUGGUAACAGUAUUCUAAAAAUAUGAACUUGGCCUAUUGAUAUCAUCCUAAAAUACAGAGGUGGGGUCAUGUCUGUCCUGUUAGGGCUAUCUGUUGCAAGGGUGAAAGAUCUUGCGAUGGCUGCUUUUCCAUCCAAGACCUCUUGCAUGUAUUGUUGAUUCCUCCCGCAGGCUGUUAAUAAUUGUAGAAUCUUCAACAAAAUGUUUUUUCAAAUUUUUAUCUAACAGUUACCAUUCCAUGACUGUUUUAAAUAGCCAUCUUAUGGCUAUUUAUUGUCUUGACUAAUGCUGGCAGCAUAAGGGGAUGCUUGACUUUACUGUGAAGUGUACUUUGUAAGACUGAUAUUUGCUAGAUACGUUAAUAGGAGGGAAACAGAAAAGAACAAGAUAGUAUUUAAAAGAAAGGAGAUAUAAUUCCAUAGUUUCCUUAUCAAUCAGAAAAUAAUCAUAGCUGAAAAGGCAAUUGGGACAUCAAGAAAUGGAAGGGAUAAUAAGGAAUUUUCUGACAAAAGAGGGAGAUGAAAGAAAGAAAAAACAACAAAACAAGCACAGUGUGACAUGUCAGUUCAUAUUUUUUUCAUUGAAGAGAUACAGUCCCGCCUACUUGAGUGUCUUAAAGAAAUUCUGCCAGUAGCUGUUCAUAUUUGUUGUGGUACCAUUCUUUUAUAUAUGUUAUUGGAACUAUGGUGUGGUUGUUUUUCUUAAUUUUCCUGUGUGUGUAAAUAAGGCACAUUCUUUAUUGCAGAUAGCAGCUAGUUUUCUGGUAGAUGCCUUUUAUGGUGCACUUACAUUUUACUGCUUCCUUAAUCAUUUCCUUUUUUGCGGCUUAAAAAGGCCUGCCACUGAGUUUCUAGGCAGCUGAGCUGACUUUCUGGAAGGGGUUUCUUUGCAGGGUUUCCAGUGUGAAGGAAAGACUGUAUUUCUUGAUGUGCUUAGGAAGUUUGAACCUGUCUAGACCUUAGGUCUGUUUUUCAGAGCUGUUCAGAUACGGAUUCCUUGUGUAGAUGUUUUCUUACUAAAGAAAGUGAGUUCAAGUGCUCGUUGAGUGUAGAAGGGCAAAAGAGCUUUGCAUGGAUCUGAGUUUCAGAGGGCAAAAUGUAUCAGACUGAUAGCAUUCUUCAGACUUCAGGUUUAUAUUGGACUUCAGUAUUAGCAGUGGUAUAGAAAUGUCUUAGUCUUUACUGAAUAACAGAUAAUGGAUUUGAUUUCUUCCUGUUCCCAUUCUUUGUGCUACUAAAUUUACUGAUGUGUGAUUUUAAUUUUUUCACUCCUCUGCCAAGCCCUAGGGGACGUGUGUGUCUGCCAUGUACUUCCAACUAUCAUCAUUAGCACUGUUAUCUCAUGUGACUGUGCGAGAGCUUUAAUCUUCUACGAGGUUGGUUUGGGUAUUGCUGCUAAAGCUAUAAAGGAAAAGCAUCCAUUCACCUUCGUGUGAAAUGGGAUGAUUGACGAACUCAUGAAUGUUUCCUCUCUGCUCUGACCAGAGUAAGAAAGGAAGAGUACCUUGGGCAGCCUAAUUUCCUGGUUUGAUAAUACACUGGGAAAAGAGCCAUUUGUUGUCUUUGGUGUUGUCCAUAUAUGGACAAAUCUUUUGCCGAGCUGAGUAAAAACAGUCAUCUUUCAGGAAAGAAUAGAAUGUUACAGGCUUUUGGGAAAUGAAGGUUUUAUAAGCAGAGGUCUAGCUUAGCAGAAUGGAUGGUUGUUCAUUUCAACAUGUUUCAGAAUGGCUUGGGGUCAGGUUUGUAUCCUGGAAGUGUGUUGGAGAAGAGUUGCAACUAUAGAUGUUAAGCAUGUUCAGUAUGUUUAUUCUUACACUAGUUAUUUGGCAGCCCUUGCAUUGAGAGGGACCACUGCUGAUACUAGUCUAGAUCCAAAGCCUUUCACUGCCUUUUAUUUAAUUUUGGAUUAAAGAUCAGGAGGAUGUUUAAGAUGAAGUUAAAUACAGGAAAGAUAUUUCAGUCUUUGACCAUGUAUGGCUCAGUAGUAUGCUUGUUUAUCAUUGCAUGAAGACCUUUAAUAGUAUUCCUUGAUGAUCAGGAGAGUCAAGCUGGGUGUUAUCACAAGAGAUCCAAGAACACCUGGACAAAUUUUGAGUUGACUGCACAACUGUGGUGCUAUUUUCUAGUGAUUCAAAAAGCUUGUUGGGCUUUUAUGUAUUUUUUCCUUUUUAUUUUGUUAUUCAAGGGGAGUAGGAAAUACCAAGUAGGUAUGUGCAUCCUCAAGGACCACAGAGCAAGUUUUUUUUUUUUAGUGUUGUUGGAAUGCAGUUAUCUUUUUUUUCAUCAGAUGACAGAUUUUAGUACAGGAAAUGGGGUGGGGGAAGGAAUACGUCAGACUCAUGUUUGUAUAUUAUGUUGUAUCUACUACUAUAGCUUCAUCUGGAUAUAGUGUUCCAUGUUGAGUAUCUCUGUUUGAAGCGUUAUAGAAAGAGACCUCUGAUUUCUGAUGAGGAACCCUAGACAGAGUCCUUGAUUUUCAGUAAGAGACUGUCUAGUGCUUGUCCCUGUGAUUGCAUUACCAAACGCACAAGCAUUCUGGUAAGGACAUUGAGGGGGAUCAUGCGGUAUAACAAGUGGCAAAAAUCCACCCUAACCCUGUAAGACUAUCGAUUGCUUUUAAAGUUUUCUUAGAGUUGUGUUGACAGUCCUGAAGAUGACAUUUUUGGCAGAUUAAAGCAGCUUUGUUUUUUCUCCUGUGUAUUGUGUUUGGUCAGAGAAGUAGAAAUAAGAAAGUAGGUAAGUUACAUACAUUUAUAUAUAUACACGUAUAUAUAUACGUAUUAAGGGUGAUGGGAACAGGCAGCUGAUUGCUUUAGGCAUCACUGAAAAUUCCAGCUGAGCUACUUGCUCAGAAAUAAAAUACUGAAAAGCAGAUUGCUGAGAUCUGACAGAUAUUUGAAGGAUUUCUCUUUUUGAAGGUAGAAGUCUUCCUAAAGAGGUGAAAUCCCCUAAAAUAUUUUAUUGUUAUUGUGUCAAAAAAGAAAGAAAGAAAGAAAGAAAUCAAAUUACCUUUGGCUGUUGAAAGUAUUGAAGUUUCAAGAGGGGAAGGAGAAGUGGAUAUGGGAGAUGAGAACACACAUCCUCUCUUUGAGACCGGGGUGUUAAGGUGUAGUCCUUAUAAGUCCAGAUUGUCUUUGUUAUCAGGCUGAACUUCAAAUAAUUAAUUUCUAUAGUCUGUCUGUAAACGUGUGGGGUUCUCUAAGCUUAACUGUUCUCUGUCAAUGGAAGAUAAAUGUGGGUUGAACUCAUCAGCAGUUAUCUAAAUUUUUAACCUUUUAUUUUUUCCCUGCUAUGGUGAAAGUGGUUUACUUCUUCAAGGAUUUUAUACGCAGAUUCUGAGUAACUAUUACUUUUGAUUUAUGUUUUGUGAUGAUUUUUUUUUUAAUUGUAAAAGACUUAGUUCUUUUGUUUUGCCUCUUAAAUUUAGUAGUGAGUGUCUCAGUUUCUUGGCUGUCUUACAGUGUUUAUCAUACAGAGCCAAUCUAGGACCAUUUAACAGAUCUUCAACUAUAAAAACUAUUAUUGCCUACUCUCGCAUUGCAUUUUAAAUAGAGCUUGUUUAAGUCUUCUUAUGUUUUUACUGUUAAAGCUUUGUGGAAAGCUGAAGACAGUGCUGCAAAUCGGUUCCUUAUUUCUGAAAGCAGGUGUUAGUAAUACCUAAUCACGUUUUGAAGAGAAAAUCCUUGUCUGCUUGUGGUUCUGUAGGAAACACCGGGCCACUUUUUCAUUGGGGCAAAGUUGUUAGGCUAGGAUCAGCUAACAAAAAGCAACUGUAGAUAUUUUUUCUUUCCCCCUUCUUAACAUAAAUACGUUCUUUGGAGGAGAAACUUAAAAGUAAUAGCUUCAUUUUCCAAAAUGGAAUGAAUGUGAAAACGCACGUAAAUUAAAAAUGUUAUGUGUUCAUUUUAUUUUUGCUUUUCACUGAUUUUUAAUUUAUACUUUAAAUUUAUAUGCUUUUUCAUAUAUUACACCAGCACUUUAUAAAGUAACUCAGUGAAACUAUAUUAACUGUUGCUGAGCCUUAGCUUUGCUGCAUUACACCUCCAGCCCAAGCUCUACGCAACGUUUAUUUAACAUAAAACUGAAGAUUCUGUGGCAUGUUUUUGAGAAGCACUUUGUUAAGGUGGAGCUGAAGAGUAUUUUAGGUUUUUCUAAUAGGAAAAGAAGUAACCACGUGAUUUAUCUGCAUCUGUUGUACAUAUUUUUUUUUUUCUGCUCACUUCUUGUUUUUCUACAUUGUGUGUAGUGUUUUCCAUAAUAGUGUAGUGUUCUCAUUCUAUUGGUGGCAACUUCACUGUCUGGAAACGAUUUCUGUCUCUCCUUGCAUCCUGUUAGAUCUCUCUUUGUCUUCUUUCUUGUGAUCUCCUGACUGAUGGGUAAUGCUAUCCAUUCUCUGGUCACCAAACUCAAAUGAGCUUCUUCCUUAUCCAGAUAGCUUCAGUCCUGGUUCCUCUCCAGGCUGCCACAGGCUGACCUCCUUUUCCUCAUCUGUUCUUUCAGCAUCAUUACUAUACUUAAGUGCUGCAUGUACAGAUCUGCUGAAGCCUCAAUUUUGGAUUGAAAAAAUGAGAGUUAGGCAGUUGCACAAGUUGGUGGGAAGCCUACAGGAGAGAUGACCUUGAAUUUCCACUCUACUUAAAGCUAGUGUAGGGGGUAAAGGAACAAAGUCACUGAGAAGCUUGUUGAGGAAGAGACAGGGUGAGCCUUAGGCCAUGGAGGACCUGGUUUCAGUCUGCGUCUAAUGAGCAAGUUGAAAGGAGGACAGCAAUUUGGGGUGUACAGUCAGAUUAUGAAGAACCACAGACUAUUUUCUCCUAUUAUAGCCUUGUUUCUUCUACCUAUUUUAUGGUCACAGGGUACUAGAUGGCCCAUUGUGAACGUCUUCAUCUGCUGUCCUUGGCUGAUAGCAAGACUUAACAUUAAGUAGAGAAUUGUGACUGGGAGCUUGUCUGCGGUAGCGUGUUCAGGUCAGAAGCAUGCAUUUGAGAUGACUGUUCUAAUUAUUCUCUUCAGCUCCUUAUUCACAUCAGAAAAUGGUUGCACAGCCUGUCUAUUGACUGGAUUUGUUCUAGACAAAGCAAAACUGGGUAGUAAGUUUCAGUUUGCUACCCAACAAAAAGUGAAUUUGGUGCAUGGGACCAGACGGAAUCUAAUCUGAAAUAAAAACUCACAAAGGAACUAGAGAGUACAAAUGCUGAGUCUUCACAGUUACCUGCUUUGGUCUGGAAAUUCACUCCUGGAAAUCUGUGCUAUGUUCUUACAUAGGCACAAAUCUGGUUUGCAGCUUAGUCUGCUUUGAGAAUUCAGCAACGCUAAGGAAUCUGUGGUGGUGGUGGUGGUGGUGGAAGGGGAGACCUGAGGUGUCUGUCUGGCAUUGAGUGAUACUUUUCUUUCACGUGAGUAUCUGAAUAUCGGGGUCUGCCAGGAAGCUUUGGUAAAGCGUGGUGGAAAUAAUGGAGAAUUUUACUUUAAGAAUAUUUCAUCAACCAUUGAAAAGAAAUCAGAUGGAUGCAGAUGAUGAUCCCUUUACUAUGGUCCUGUUCAAUCUGUUCAUGAUUAAUGUGUUUGUAAAACAGAGCUAAGGUUUAGAUAUUGCACUGUUUGGAGAUGCUGUCUUGGAUUUCAGAGAUUUAUUGAUGUUAUAAAUUUGAUUCUGCUGAACUGAGCCUACUUGAAGAAUUUUUAUUGCAAUGAGACCAGGGUUAUGGACCGUCGGAUGUAGUUAUGGAAAAGUUAGAAUAAGUGUGGUUACAAAAUGACAUGAUUCUGAAAUAAGAACUAAAAAAAAUAAUCCAAUGUAAUUUCAAAACACAAAUGACAAGAGAGGAAUAUUACAUUCUUAAUAAUGAAAGGUCAUUCAGUGCUCUCGCUGGCUUGUAGUCAAUUUGUAGACUGAACAACUGACAUUUUUUUCUGCUUUUCUUUAAUAUCAAUAUUGAAUCUGAUAGAAGAGUCUUAAUUUAAACAUAUGAGAGUUUCCUUGACAAAAUUUGUGAAUGUUUUUCUUGUUCUCCUCCAUUUAGCCAAGUGCAUUUUUUUUCCUAGCCUUAUAAUCACUAACAGACAUACUUGUUCUCUCUUUUUAUCUAACCUAACUAGAAAUGACAUAACCUUAAGCAGAAAUGACUGAAGAACACCCAUGUUCAUGAACUGUGAAUCCAGAUUAUGAAAUGCAACUUCUCACAAAAGGAGUAAUUCUAGUGGACUUGAUCUCUAUUUCCAGUGGUGUGAUUCAAUUUAGAAUUCAUCUUUCCUGUUCAUCUUCAAACUGUUCUUCAUCUCAAUAAAUAUGCUUUACUUUGUUUUCAAUUGACUUUCAUUUGUUGUUUCUGGCAAGGUGAGCUAAAUAAGAAUCACCCAAAUCUUGCCUAGUUCUUAAAGUAAUCAUGGGGAUAAAGAACCUGGUGUUCAAUACGUUGGUAGCUUGAUUGCUGUCAGGAUUCACUGUUUUCAUGUUCCCAGGCAGUAAAGCAGAAGACCAAUUCAGAGCUUCAAACUUGGCUUCCCCCUUACAACGGCAGUGUCGCUGGCUGGCCCUAGGAACGCUCAUUUGCAUGAAAUAAAUAAAGCUGAACAACAUGUCUUCUGCUUGGGGUUAUGCCAAUACAAGUUUAGUUAGGUUUGUGUUUGUUUUAAGACUGGUCUCAUUUGAAAUCUCAUGCCAUUAAUCAGUGCAACAUGGUAAUUACAGCAGGAAAUUAUAUAUACUGUCAAGUAAGUACAUGCUUAGCAAAAAAGCACAAAACCAAUAUUAUAAUAAGCAUGAGCUGUACCUCACUCUCAGAGUAACUUCAUAGUGAAGCUUUUGCUGGCUGCCAGGAGCUGGGAUGAAACCCUUUAUGCUGAUGCCCAAGCCUAGUGAAGUGAGGGUUCUUGACUCCCUGUAUGAUAUGGUGAGAUGUUUGUAGGAUGGUGCUAGUUGUCUUGCUGGGCUUCAUCAAUUUGUGUUUUGAUGAGACCCAUUUCUGUUACUUUUGAUGGAAUGCCAAAUGAGAAAAAGUAAUAAAAAUCAUGCCUACAUUUUAAUUGAUUCUACUCUUAAGUACUGUAUUUUCUUUUCUUCUGCUUUCAGUAGAUCACUGGUUUUACCUGCAGCAGGUGCAGCAUGUUCUAAUACUGAUGUUUAACGUAACCAUGGUCACAGUUACUUGCAAGUGUUUUGUUGACUGAUAACAAACCACUAUUCCAUCUUGUAAUAUUAUGUAUUUCAUUACUAACACUGUAAUCAUUUCUAGUGCAAGCAUUGCACUGACAUAAAAACAUACUAAACCAGGUGUUAUCUCACUUUUUCCUGGAGUAAUUAAGUAACACAUUCACAAAGUAUCGUGUAGGCUGACAAAUAUUUCCAUUAGGUGUUUGGCACUAUUAACAUUAAUGACUUCUGUUUCCUGCUUAAAAAAAAAAUAAAAAUAAUAAAACCCAGCAAUGUAUUAAUAGUUUUUUGUAUCCCUAUACUUUGCUGUGAAGUUGCUUUAAAAUGUUGUAAACUGUACAACCUAUUGAGUGAUAAAUGCUGUGCUUACACUGGUGUUGGCUAGGUUAACCAAGGCUGCCUUUGCCUCUAACAACAUAAGCUAACUGUCUAGAAAUUUCUGAAUUUUAGUAGUGCCACAUAGCUCCUAUAGUAUACAGCUCCUAUACUACCGUAGUAGUAGUAAUGUUGUAAUGACAGAUAACAGGAUUUUAUGUAUUGCUUCUUUGUGUAAUGUUACAUUGGUGCUGUGUUGGUGCUUUUUCUUUUAUAGUUGUAUUUCCUGGUUGUUUACAUUGAUGAGAAUGUGUUUGUAAAUAUAACACUUUUUACAGAUGUAGGUUCUUGUAUGGGCUUUUAAGCAGUUAGCUGGAAAACAGCACGGGUGUGCUCCUCUGAAGAAAUGAAUGUAAUGCAAGAGUAUAAAUGAACAUGAGUAUGCAUCUAACAGAUAGCAACUGCACAGCAGUAGAGCCUGACUUCACAUGUCCUUUUCAGAUGAAUUAUACCACCCAGCCACCAGAUUCUAUUGACUUUCUAAGGUCUGUGUGCAUGCUGAAGACUACCUUUCAGCUGUAGUAAUUGCAAUCAUCUCAGCUGUAGUAAUUGCUGUAGUUAUUGUGAAUAGCCAGGUGUUUUUGUGUUCUUUUUCUUCUGAAAAGUUACUGUAGAGUCUACAGUAAUCAGUGGUGAUGAAGGACCCUGGGCAUGCAUUCUUUAUGUUUCUUGUCCUAGUUAGUCAACUUCAUGUUUUGUACACAACAACAUAAAAAAAAGGAAUCUGUGUUUUUUUUAUUAUGGCUGAUAUCCAUUUCUCCAGGAUCAAUGUUUAUUUGGUACUGCUAAGCCAUCACUGAGGAAGUGCAAUUCUUGUUGUAAACUGCAGGAGAUAGACUUGUUAUACAGCACUUUGACUGUUAUUGUGAAAAUAAACGUAAGUGCAAAAUAAAUAUUGCUCUUCCUCCGUGAAUUGUUAUGGAAAGAGUAGUCACCAAAAUGUUAGGUUAUUAUCUAAACCUUCUCCCACCAAUUUUGGGAAAUGGUGGGGAGGAAAGCAAUAUUACCUGAAGACGAUGUUUACUUAAUUCCAUCUGAACCUUGGUCUUAUCUGUUCCACUUGUGCUGGCUUUUGAGUCAGCUUGCUUUUAGCAGCACUGCUGCUAAUAAUUAGUGUUGCUGAUUUUUAGAUCUUCUGUUUGCCAGCUCAAGGGAGGGCAAAGCAAAACAUUUCCCAUAUGCCAGAGAGCAACAGAAAAAACAUUUUGGGGGGGCAAGUUGAAUAGUUGGAAGAAGAGGAGGAAAUGGUCUAGGAUGCUGGCAUAUGCCAGCUUACAUUUCCCAUUGAGCUUGCCUCAGACUGAGCAAAGUUUGGUCUGCUCUUGGGUAGAAGAGUGAGUGACUAAAUAGCCCCAUGAAACUGGACAGUGGAUCUAAUAAAACUUUUUUGCCUCUGGUUUUGCUUUGUAGUUGUAAGAGAAAAUAACAUCUAACAUGCACGUGCACUUGUGAUGUAUUGAGUACUAUAUUUGCUUGUUCCUUUUGGAAAUCGUGCAAAACUGAUGUUACUUCAUAAGAAGGUGAAUUACAACCUUUACACAUUCUGAACUUAGCAUCUCUGUACCUCUUAACCACUGUAUUGCUUUUGACCUUCUCCUGUGUCCCAAAUACUCUCUUGCCAUGUCCCCUAAUGGCUGUGUGGAGAAGACAUAGCAGGCGGCAUGACUGACAGUGUGGGCUGCUUGGCUGUCUGUGUGCUGAUUGACUGGGCAGGCAAGAGAAAAUCUACAGCAUUUUUUUUUUUUUAAACUGCGUCACUCCAGUUUAUCCAGUGGCCAUAAAACUCUCAGGAAUGUGGUUAUCUUUGACAUCUCUAGCCUGGUGUCAGUUACAGUUGAAAUUCACUAAUGAGCUGGAAGUUGUUACAGGGCAAGAGUGGGGAGGCUGCUGAUCCAGCCAGUCAUGUAGUAACUGGGUUGAAGACGUGAAAAUUGGAGCCUUAUGUUUCUCCUCUCGACUCCUACAGUGGCUCUGAUUUCACAGGAUGCUUCCAGACCUGCUGGAGUCAAAUGUGGUGAACGUGAGAUUCGUUGUUUUCUUUGCAUCCACUUCAUUUUCCCCUGUUGUGGUGUUUGUGUCGCAAUCUCAGGCAGGACAGAGUGGCUGCUUUCCUGCCUGAGGAUGCCCAGUGCUGAUCUCUGUAGAUCAACAAACUGUAUCUCUGAUGGAAAAUGGAUGUGAAAGUGUUGUAACUAGCUAAAAUGCACUUAACAUCUCCUUUUGUGUGGUCUGCUGUACUGAGAGAAGCACAUACCAUGUAGCUCCAAGGACUUCAUAACAUGUGAUCAAAUGGACUAGAAUUCUGUUAGCUUGAGAGGUAAGUCUGUCUGAAAUCAUAUUUUUCGUUCCUUAUCCAUGCUGUUUGUUUCAGUGCUUCAGAGGAGAAGUGGACUUGUAAGACAGAACAGUUUGUGUAAGGAUUCUACUCUGAUCUUAGAUGUCUUGAUGGUUUUACCUUGGUAUGGCUGUUUUGAUAAUAGGAUUGGGAUUCCUGGAGUGCAUCUUUCUAUGUAGCUUAGCCAGAAGUGAGCCUCAUUUCAUGUCCUGAGACUGUUUGGUGGUAUGAAUCAAAAUGCAGCAAGCAGUGAAAUGGGGAAUUUCAUGUCACAGCAAACUCCUAAGCACAUGACGCUGCUGGCAUGAAUAUGAAUGCUAUAGGAUGCCUCUGGCAAUACUGUUAGCACAAAGAGCACUUUGGAUACAUCUGGCAUCCAAAGUAAUGUUUUGUUUCAGGUUCCCCUCCUUCCUCUGUGCAUGAGCAGCAGAGAUGGUAGCACUGGGCCUUCCUGGAUGAAUGUUAGGCUACAGAGAGUUGGCAAAAGCCCACAGCUUCUGUGAGUUGGAAGCCCCUCAUGUGGGCAGUGCCCUGCACUGGAACUGUCUGGCAGCAGGCAAGUGCAGAGGCUCUGUGGCUCCAUGUUGUGUAACCCACUCUUUUGUGUUUGCUGUCGGCAGGGUGGCCUGACUGUGGCACCAGUCCUGUGCACAGUGAUGGCAUUCUUGACCUCUAAUCCGUCAGGGUGAUGCAAAGCAGUGUCAAAGAGGACCACAAAUUGGCCUCCAGACCCAUGGGCUUGAAUACAAUAAAAAAAUAAAUUAAUUGUGUUAGUGGAGAAACUUGGGUGAGAGAAGAUGUUUUGUAGCCAGGACGUAUGGGAAGCACCAAAUGAGCAUGGGUAUCCCGUUGAAGAAAAAAAUAUGGAAGAUGAGAACUUUUGGGAGAUAAAAUUGGUAAGGAAGCUUUUAUGUGUUAAAGGACACUGUUUUUUGCUUUAUAAGCAUUUGUUGCCUGCAUGUGCAGGCAUUAACUGGAUUUGAAGUUCUUUCAGCCACUGUGGUUGGAUUUUUUUUUUGUUGGUUUUAAAUUUAACAUGUUUGCCACUGGUGAGAAGGUGCCUCAAAAGCCUGUUAGCUGAAAUAAAUACAUACGCUUUCUCUCUGCUUUCUCUUUCCAGGAGGCUGUCUAGGUUCUAAAUUACUUCUGUGAAUUUAAAGGAAACAUUUCACUUGUCUCCUUUGAAGUCAUGGAAAAAAAAAGUUACAUUUGAGAAAGAAGUUCCAAAGUUUGGUAUCUGUGAGGUUGCUGAAGAUAAGUGUCAAUCAGUGGUCGGCAAAGUUGGUGGACAUCCCAAAUCAGAAAUACUGCAGCUGAUGACAGGUGUUGGCAGGUAUUUGCCGACCACCAGAAGGUAGAAAGACAGGGCAAAAUGAAUUGUGACUGUGGGAAAGCUAAUGAGAGGUGAAAGAAAACAUAGAUUAAGCCAGAUCUACAUAGAUGGAAAAACAAAACUUUUGUUUGAGGAGAAAACAGCUGAUACUGAGUACUCCCUUUCAUAGCCUUAGCUUCCUUUGGGGAAACUAGCAAGCUUUAUGAAGAAAGGGAAGGUGUUAGCUCCUUUGGGAGGGGAAAGAAGGUAGAGCUGGUCAGCUGAAUGGGAUGAAUUAUCCGCUUUUCUAGGAUUAAAAAUUUUGUCAGAUUUUUUUUUUUUUUAAGAGACUGUGGGAUUUAAUGCGAUAAACCUUUGCUAAUAAGCAUGUCUCACUGGUUCAUUUGUGACUAACAGAUUUUUUGCAUGAAGAAGGUUCAGUUCCUGUUGUUUGCAGAAGUCAGUGCAAUGGCUUUGGACUUAGUGUUACUAUUUCAGUUUCUACUGUGGUCAGUGAAAGGUGCGUUUUGCAAUUGGGUACUGAAUGUUUGAUCAGGUUUUUUUCUACUAACGCUUUGUUUUCACACAUUUUUUACUUUUUCCAACUUAGCAAGAGGAAACGUCUUCAAAAUUUUCCACUCUGAAAGGAGUUUCUGUCCCUGCAGCCUUUUCUUCUUUGUACCAAUGGACAAGAUACAGCUUGCAUAUUUACUUGACUGAUUUGUCACUUCCAUCAUUGACAAUUGGCUAUUUUUGCAUGGAGGUUAAUAAAUAAUUUCUUUCCUCCAUCAAAAGUGAAAACUCUUGAGAUGCGUAAGAAAGUAGUCAUGUGCCACUUUUGAACAGGAAAAGCAUUGUAACACCAAAGAGAAAAGGUCUCCAGCUGAAAUACGGCGUACACUGGAACUGGUUUGUCCAGUGCCUGGCUUAUUUUCUCCUGUGUCUGUGAGGAAGUAUUACCUUAGCAUAACAUUGAAGGCUAGUAUUCUGUUGAAUAUGAAAGUCAUUAAGAUGAAAACCAAGCGCUCAGUAAAACCUUCAUAUGAGUUUGCUUGUAAGUGUGUUUCUGAACAACUCAGUUGUACUCUCCUAACGUGUACUCAGACUGCUUUAUCUGUUUUAGAAGCUGUUUUUCACUGGUCUGCAGAAAACAGUUUUCAUUUGGGUGGUCUCUGGUCUGUACAUAUACAGCAUGUAUAUGCAUAUGUCAGGGAAAAUAUAUUUAUGUUGUCUCUGUGGUGGAAACACCUCUGUGUCAGCGAGCUUGAGCAAGCUACUUUGACUUUUCCAAUUAGAGGUAUUUGCUUGUUAGCAAGUAAUUCUACUUUACAGGACAGUUUGUUCUGCUGCACAGUGCAGAAACAGUAGAGAAAUGCAAUGAGAGUGUCAUUCUGAUGGUAGUCAGAAUAAUGUUUCAAAAAAAUAGCAGGAAAGAAAAUACGGAGGAGGAAUGACAAGUAGUAGAGGGCUGCAGAGCUCAGGGAGUAGGAUAGCUUUCUUAUGUUUUUGGAGAGAAACAUGUUGAAAGGAAAGGAAGAAAUUAAGAUGUGUGAUGUCUGUAAUCUGAGCAGAAACAGUUUAUAAGAGUUGGAGGAAUGGAAAGUUUAGGAUUUUGGUUUUUUUUUUUCUUUUAAAGGAUUCCCAUCUGAAACUAAUAAAUGAGAGUAAAAACAAUAAAUAUCAGUGAAAUGCUAAACAUUAAAUAGUAAUUUCCCAUAAGCUGUGAGGCUCUGCUGACAGUACUUCGUGUGACAGCAUUUGUUAAACAAAACCAAUUCCAAUUUGAAUUGUUUAAAUUGGGCAGCACUUUGGCUGUUUACCCAUCAAAAUUCUCUUAAUAGUAGCACCUGCUGCACGCAACCGCAAAUACAUAGUGAAGAAACUCAUUAAUUACCUUUAAGUAAAGAUAUUUGAAAUAAGAAACACUUUCUUAGUUCUUAGUUUCUGGCAUUGACAAAAAUGAUAGAUGGAAGCAGGACCGUAGUGGUUAUUUUCAGUUAUAAUUCAUGAUCUUUUUUUCACAAGCAUAUUAGUAUAGAGUAUCCGUGAAAAGUAGACCUUGAGAGUUGUGUUUACAUUAGCAAAGAGUUAUGGAUACUUUUUCAAAAACUAAAUGAGAAAUAUUACUUUUCUGAGAACAAAAGAAAAAGAAAAUAAGCGUUUAACUUGUGUGUCUCAAAUCUCAGGCAGGCCUGACCCUGCCUUUUGGCCAAAGAACUCUGAUCCGGGCAGAACCAAAUGAGUAAUGUUUGUGGUGGUUCAAAUCCCCAGUGAACCAUUCUGAGCAGCUGCAAUUCCUAGUUAUUGGAAAACUCAGGUUUUGACUAAGACAACAGCUGGGGUCUGGCAGGUUAGGGAUAAUAAAACAAACUAACGUUAUCAGCUUGACAAUGGCAACAACUUUAUAUGUUGAGUAAGAAACUGUCAAUUCCGUAUUCCAGUUUUGCUUCUCUGCUAAAGGCAGAAAAAAUUGGCAGGAAAAUAAAUCCCCUGAAUACAAUUCACCAUUUAUUGUGAGGUAUUCAGGAGCAGCACAGUAGAAUUAAUUGGUAUUCUUUUGUAUUAAAGCAAGGAAAUAACUUUUGUCUUUGUUCUGCCCAAUCCACAGUUUUGCACGUAGUUCCUUUUAAAAUCUUUCUCUCAGACUAAUGCUACGCGCUUUACAGAAAUGCCUCUGGGGGUCCCCUACUGCACUUCUGGGGCAGGUGAUAGAGUAUAGGGCAAACCCAGCUUUGAAAAGGAGUCCACUUGUUCAUUUUUAAAGCUGCUUUAAUACAAAACAUGUGAUAGUUAAGACAAACACAUCACAUUCUUUGGCAAUCAAUAAAUUAUUAAAAAAAAUGAAGCUGUUGUGGUUAAAAAUAAACAUUACUUGUGCUUCAGUUUAUAAUACUACAUUUCAUAAACUUCUAGAAACAAUUCCAAAUGUAAAAGGAGGCAAAUGUUAUGUGUAGGCAGGAUGGUGGUUCACCAGCCAGAUGAAAAGCAAAUGCCAUUGCUUUUGGAUAUUAUUCCUGAGGUUUUGUAAUAUUUCUAUACGCUCACCUUCCAUAUGCGUACAUGCAAGAGCAGAGGGCUAAUCUUGUUUAAGCAAAACUCAAAAAACUUUUUCAAGAAAGAAAAAUAAUGUAUUUCCUUAAUUUUACCUAAAAAUGUACAUAGUAAUUCAUACCGGCACUCUAAAUAUAAUUCCAUCAAUCACUCAGAUCCUGGAAGGAUCGCACUCAGCUAGAUUUUGCAUUCCUGUGCUUCACCUAUUACAUUGAGCUGUGGUGACAGCUGGGCUGGAAAGAUGAGCUUGACUGCGUGUAUCUAAUCUUAAAGCUGCCUGCUUUUGAGUAAUACUCUGUUUACCUUCUGUCUUUCAUAUUAUUUUUCAGCCAUGGUCACAUUUCACUUUUUGUUGGGCAAUGAGAAAUACCCUGACUGCUAUGAAAUGUGUAUAUAAUGCCUUUACUACUACUACUAUAUCAGCUGUUAUCCUAACGGUUAUCCUUAUGGCUUCUAAAAGUAUAGUGGGUGUCAUGGCACUACUAGAGGAGCAAAUGGCCUGGCUUGCACUGACCAGUUAGCGCUGGCUUGCACUGACCAGUGAGCACUAAGAAGAAGGUAAGAUGUUGGGGACACAUGAGGGUAUAGAGGAUAGAUGCCAUUCAUGUUUCUAGUUUUUCUGGUACUGACUGCUCAAAUGCUUUUAGACAUUGACAGCAAAUUUGCUCAUCAAACAUCAGACUCAGUAAGAGGCACUACUGCAAAGCUAACCUGAUGCAAGGUUACAGGUAGGGCUUUCUUCACUAGCAGAGGCAUCUGUAGAAGCCCUGAGAUUUCAGCACUAAAUGUUCUGCAUCUUAUAAUAAUAAAAAAGUAGUGCUACAACACAGAAGGUUAAGCGAAGGACAGUUUGUGUCAAUCAAUAUUCACAGUGUUUUUCUAAGGUUUAUGAAGAGUUAGUACAUGGGCCUUGAAAGCUUAAGUUUUACUUGGAGUGUAUUUAAUGUUCUUGAAUUUAUAACUGGAGAGGAUCAUCUUUAGGUGGCAAGUAUUUGUAAUUGGGCUCCUUUGGUGAUUCAGUGUUACUGCACUAGGUAUACAUAUGGAAAUGCCACUGCUUCUUUUCCCUGUUGGGUUGGGUGAUUCUAUUAUUCUGUGACAUUUUGGAGAGAAUCUUACCUGCUUUUCUGUUUCAAAGAACUACCUAGAUUGAUAGCUUAAUUGAUAUGUAAGUCUGUGAAAACUAAACCCUCAUACUUAAUUCAGUGCUUGUUAGAGAGGACUGUUUUACUAGUUAGAAUCCGAGUUUCUUUUGUCUAGCAUGAGCUUGUCUGACUUUUACUGGGACUUCCAACACAGCCUGUUACUCUAUUCUAAAAGUGUCUUGGAACAGGCUUUUGUGAGCCCAUGACACUUUCUGUGGGUGCUGAUAACUGCACACUAAGCCCUAUGUGACUGUGUGUUGUGCUAUUUUCUUUCGUGUUUGCAUUGUCUGUUUAAUGAUGCUUCCAAGCAAACAGUUCUUGAGGGACUGAUGCCACAAUUUACUUCUCCAGCAUUGUGUCGUGAAAUUAAUUACAGAUGACAGCAGGUAAAAUACUGUCCAAAAUUGGUCAUGAUCUAACAGCAGAACUUGCAUCUCUACAGAGCCUAAAUUAAUAUGGAUCUGUACUUGGAUCACUCAUAUCUCAUUGCUGCAGGAUCAACUUUAAACUGUGUGUGCAUGAGACUUUCAGCUUAAAACUUUUGAGGAAGGAAUAGAGGAGGAAGAAGUGAUAUUGUUUACAUAGUGAUGCUGAGAUUGCUGUGGAGGCUUUCAUUUGAACCUCCUGAGUAUAUUUCUAUUUUAUGGUAUGUACGUAGCCACCAUUAGUAAGAUGGACUGUAAAAGUUAAGGCUAAAGAAAAUAGAAGCAAGGGAAUAGCGUAGUUUCUGUUGUUAGAGAACUAUUCAUUAGGCCAAUGAAAAAUAGAAUGCAAGUCCAGCUGAUUCUCAAUUCACAGUAAUUUAUUAAUCUCAAGAGUUUAUAACAGAUGGGUCAUGUUAGAUAAAUGUUGCUUCUCUUCAGUCACUAAGUGUACAAACCAGCAAAUUAAUAACAGGCUUUAGUAUUUUAUUUAUUUAUUUCGAAAAUAAAGCUAAUAGCCUAACAGCUACAGUUUCUCUGAAUAAAAAGUAUACUAAUGCUAUACAUUCUGUAAGCCAUAUAAACAGUGAACAGGGAAAACACAGUUAUAUCUUUAUAAAUGUUUUUGUAUUAAGUAUUCUUCAAUAACCUAACAUUUCAGGAAUGUGGGCAGUUCUGAUCCCUGUCUUUUGUUAUUACUCUCAAUAACAAUUAAAUAUUUGGAUCUAGUUAGCUUUUAAAAAGUAUAAGGGAAGAGAACCUUAAAUAAGGUUAAAUAUAUAUAUAUAUUUAUGUAUUUAAAAAGUUCUUAUUUAGUGUCUGAAUCAACUUGCAGCUUUUAUGUCACAGUUUGUCAGUGCUGUGCCACAGCAGCAGUUGAUCACUGCUUAUAUAUCAAAAUACUUGACCUCUAAUGGGCUAAGAAAUAAAUAAGCGAAUAAAUCAAAAUGAACAAUGAAUUCUUUGCAAUGAAACAAUUCAACUCUGUAUGUUAACAAUUAACUCUAUAUGUUGGGGUUUUUUUGCUGCUUUUUUUUUUUUCCUUUGCAUCCCAACUCUGUAUAACUUGAUGAUUCUGACUUUAAAAACCAAGACGUUUUUGUUUUUUCAUUCUUGCUUGGUUGAUUGACUAAUGGAAUUAUUCACGAUAGAUUAAUCACUCUAUUCAGCAGCCACUUCUCCAUGUGAAGGGAUUCCAAGAAAAUUUCUAAAAAUAAGUGAAUGGCAGUAAAAAUCAUAACUGUUUUGUUUGUUGGCUAGGCAUAUUUUUUUUCCUCAAACUCAUCGCUGUAGUCUUUUUAUCACAGUGGCCACUUUCCAGGUGGGGAAUUGAGAGAUUUAGGCCUAUAUUUUGAAAUGUAGCCUUAAAUUUUAUUUUCUAUGCCAGAGUGUCCCUCCUGACAAUUUUGGUGUGUGUGUGUGUGUGUGUUGUUUUAAUAGCGCUCAGAACACAGAACGAACCUAAAUAGAAAACAAACUAGAUGGUCUGAUGAUCAGGCUGAAGAAGUCUCUGGUAGAACGUGACAUCUGGAAUUGCUGGUUCCUACUGAGUUGUUUGGCCUUUCAGACUUCCUCAGUAUCUCAUGGGAUAAUGAUGUCAGAAGUGGAAACAUAAUUUUGUUCUCUAGAGCAAAUCUAUUUUUAUUAACAAAAAUAUUAUAAUUAGGGCUUCAUCAUGGUUUCCACUCCAAGAUCCUGGUUUAGAUGCUCGUUGCCCUCUAAAACUUUCUAAAACUUGAAGCUCUUUAGGUAGCAGUUCCCAGGCUUUUCUUCUGGCUGAGAAUAAUUACUUUGGGAAAUUGCAUUAAUACAGUUUUCUGCGAGGAGGAGAGACAGGAAAUAAUGAUAGCGACUUUGUUUUGAUUAACUCUCCAGCAAAACUCUGAGUCCAAUGUUGAAACUUGUACUUACUAAGGAGAUACCUUUGGAAGCAUGUCAGAUUUUGAUUCGACUGCAGUACAGAUUUUGAAAACUCAUGUAUCUGCAGAAUUUUCUGAAGCACUGAUCUGUGAAGUAUGUAUAGCAAGUAGCAAUGGAGUGCGCUAGUAUAUAUUUUUUUUAUGAAAGAAGCUGAACGUUGUAUCUGUGAGUUCGGUCUCCACAGGCUGCAAAUAUUUUGAUGAACGUGUCUCAAACAGUGAAAAUGAAAAUUAACUGAAAAAGACUUUUUUUCCUAAUAUAUGAGCGAUCUUACAUACUGUCAGUUUAGGGUCUAAUUUCAAGUUAAUGAGUUGAAGAUAACUUCAGCCUUCCAAAAGAAUUUGAAAAUACUGGAUCUUUCUGCCACUUGCAUGCUUCAUAUCAGUUUUUUUUUGUUUGUUUUUAAUGUUUUGGUGUUCUCCUUGUGCUGUGGAGAAAAAUACCCACAUUAUUUUAAUUAAAUAAUGCUCUUGCAUUUUGUUUUAAAUGUUAAUUGAAAGAUUUUUUUCCUCACAUGAGCAAAGCCCAAAGGGUUACUGUUUUUCUCUUCUAAAAGCUACUGACAUCACUCACACCUAAAUUACUGGGAAUUGCAUUCCUUCUGCCAAUUUAGGUUCUCCUAAUGCUCCCAGUUAUAGUAGAGGAAGUGCUGGAACCUGGAAACCAGAAUGCGAAUACUGGCAAUAUGUGAUAGCAGAAGUUAUUUUAACGUCAUUUUCAACUAGUUUCUUUGUAGUAUUUUCUCCUUAUAAAAUAAACUUCAGUUGGGAUCUUGUUUUAUGUUUGAAAUAAUUAAGGAAUAUUCCUGCUCAAUUUCUUGUUCUCUUGCAAGAAUGCUGGUCCUGGUUAGUCACUAAAGACGAGGGAGAGAAGCUGUGAAGAUUAGAGAAACAGCUUUCAACUUGGAAAGCAUUCAGUGUCAUCUUCUAGAGAACUUACAGUGAGCUAAGGGAAAACAGGAUGAAUGAACAUCUUUUGAAAGAAAAAGGAAUCAUUUCCUUCUGAAGAAGUCAUGUUCGAUAGUGAAGUUUGUUUGAUCUAAACUGAAGAUGUUGACUCGUUGUUUGUUCUGACUUUGCUGCACAGUGACAAAUGGUUGUUAAUCAGGUACAAGUGCUCUCAGACAGUUUAAAGAUUUUCAUUUGAAGGAAGUAAUUGUGAUAGUCUUCUCAUUAAAAGUUUGUUUUUCUGUGGAACAAGAGACUUUGAUUUGAAAUUUCUUUUUAUGUGACAAAGUAACACAAUGUUGGUGUCUGUAAACCUGUAGAAAAGACAGCAUGUCCCUUUUGCAUGCUAUGAAUAAGAAACUAGAUCUUGUUUAUAGAGUACGUUCUGUUUAUUUUUAUACGUGAGCAUGGGGGUAUUUGUCAAUGAAAGCCUUGUAGUUCAGAUGUGGAGAGUUACUCAAAGAAUGCCAUGUCACAGGUUCCCUACUCCUGAUUUCUUACCUCCAAGAUUUCCUACCUGGAGGUGCUCUGAAGCUGCAGAGGAGGGGGGUUUUUUGUUUUUUGUUUUUUUUUUUUCCUUUUGGUGUAUCAGUAAUUCUUUACAAACAGGUUGGAUUAGCUGUGUUUCCAUAUGGGACUGUAGAUCUAAUAAUAAAAUUUACAAAUCUACAGAUCAGAGCAAAAAAUGCAUUUAGGAUUUAAAAUGUGUAGUUUCCCAGAUUCUUUGCAGUCAUGGGCUACUGAUGUAUCUAAAGGCUUAGAAACAUUAGCUGAAGGGUAUUAAUACAUUUGUUGAGCUACUGUCAGUGGCUUUUUUAUUUUAAAGAAACUUUUAAAAUACUCCCUCCUCAUCCAUAGUGUUGUACAACACAUGCAUAUUAUAAUGUUGGUGUGUACUCUAAAUUCUAUGGAGAAAUGGAUGAACUUUGCAAUCCUAAGCUUUAUUAAUCUUAAUUUAUUUUCUGUAUACAAUGGAAACUUUAAUACUGUAUUUAAGAAAUACUGCAGGAAGUCAUUUCUGUGUUAGAAAUUUCAUAAGUAUUUAGUGUUAGUUAAUUCUAUAAGGCCAUCAUUUAGUCAUACUGUUCAGAUGCAGGACAGUUGUUUGGAAACUGAACAGAGUUGUAGAAUGUGACUACAAAGUUAAGAAAAUUCGAGUUAAUAUCAUGAUUAUUAUAUAACAAAAGUUGGUAAAAGAAGUCAGGGCACAUGGAAAAUGUGUAUUUUGUGGCAUUCUUUCAGCAGUUGAAGCUUGUAUUUAUCCCAUUGAAGAAAUAUCUCCCAAAAUGCAUAUCCACAAAUUAACGUUAGUUAGAAGCAUACUGCUAUUUAUUUUUUAAUUAUUUUUAUUUAUUUAUUUAUUUAUUUAUUUUGCUGGUAAGAAUUUUCCUUUCCAAUAAUAACAUUAUUUUUGGGCAAGUAUUGUCAGUAGCAUUUCAGAGGACUGAUUAACAGAAGACCUGAAGAAUGCAGACUGAGUGGAAGUACUGUCACGUGUAGACUAGGAUCAAAGUAUAACUUCAUGUAUUUUUUUUUUUUUAAUGUUGAAGGAGUCUCCUCCUAAGUAUUGAAAUGCAUAAAGCCAAUCACAGUUUUAUUUAGGGAUAAUCUUUUUCUGUUAAUGUGUUCCAGGUGAUGAUUUUCUGAAUGCAAGUUGGAACAUUUGUGUAGGAGAAGGUUAAUUAAAAGGAACCCAAAUGUGUCUGAGUGUAGUUAAGCACAUAUGCUUAAUAUUUAGUAACUUUACAUAUGUUUAACAAGCAGCUUUUCACUCCUUGCCUGAGGCUGAGGUCAGCCUAGAAUUGGAACUGAAAGUUAUUACUUAUAUAAACUCAAGCUGAGCUAUUUAGGAUAAAGGAUAGUGUUUGCAAUACAGGAGUUAUGCACUAACAUUUUGUGUUUGGGAAAGCAAGGACUGUAUAGCUCUGCUAGUGUUAAAAGUACAUCACUUUUUUUUUUUUGCCCCCCAUAUUUCAAGGGUUUGGCCCUUGCUUGUAAUUCAUCGUAUAAUUCUGUUUGCCUCUUAAAAUUCUUGUGUUUGCCAUGAGUUGUGUUUAUUGAUGUAAUGUCAAGGAGGGUUUCUGAGACUUCUUUGAUGGGUCUUCUUAAGUAACUAAGAUCAGCUAAGAUAAAUCUCAAUCAAGUGAGUCAUAUUGUCAUCUUUAACAUUUUUAGAAUCACACAGGAAAUAAAUUUUGUAGUAAAUGAUGGAGUGGUAUUUAUGAGCAGUUACUGUUAGCGUGUUUCAUGUGAAAUUAUGUGGAAGAUACUGGCAUAAGGGAUUGGCUCUGUGGCGGAGCCUGCAGGAGUCUGUUUGGAUUAUUUCCCAGCAGGGCUGUACCUGUAGGGCUUGGGGCCAGAAGCAAGCUCCUCUAGACUAAUGGGGAAGUUGGAUGCAGUUGUGUACUGCAGAAAUAUUGGAUGUCUCUUCUGGUCACUCAGAGUUCCAGAUCAUGCAGUCCAUGCCAGACCUUGGCUAGCUUCAGCUGGAGCUAUGCAGUUGUAUUUGAAGUUUGGUUUGGGCUCUUCAUCAGGCCCUUCUCUUGUCCAAGUUUUUCAAUGUUCCCAUGUACCCAAGCUCCACUUGCCCCAUCUAACAGUUGCUAAUAGAUGUAUAUCUGCUAAGGAAGGAGUGGGAAGAAGGUCAAUGGGUGGAACAAAAAGAAUGUGUGCAGUGAAGAGAAACCAACCAUCUGGUUUAUGAAUAAGUAAAGAGAAUAAACCCUGAAGGACCAAAUGGUAACAAGCACGCAGUUAGCUAGGGUUUCAGGGCUUGAAGAGUUAAAAAUUAAUUUAUUGUAUAACAAACCAUUGUAGCAUUUAUAAGUUCAUGGAAGUGCUUUACUCUGUGUUUUAAGUACGUGUUAACUUGAACCAAAUAUAGGUCCUAUAAUUUUCACACAGAAAAGUCUUUUUAUUCUUUGUGUUAUAUUCAAAAAGGAGUAGCCUUAAAAUUAAAGCUUGUUGCCUGUGUAAAAUCCUGAGCAUUUAAAGUUGAAUCCUGUUGUCAAUUUCAUACACGUACUUUCUACUGGUUUAUACGGAGUUGCUGAGCACUUCUUUUGCAGAACUUGGCCUGAAUUCAACCCAACUGCCUCUCCAUUGUUCAACUGAGAACUCUACUAUUAAAAAGUCCUUUGUUAAAAUGGAAGACUAACUUUAUUUUUUUUCUUUUUCAUGUGGUAUACCUGAUAUAGCCUAGGAUUAGCAGAAUGUGUUUUCUUCUGAGUAAAGCACUGUGGCUUUAAAAUGGAUGAGUGAGCUGCCAUGUGAAAUCAAGGCUGGGACCAGUUUCAAACGUCCAUUAAAAUUCUAUAUGAACCUUCUGGGGGCUCCUUGGAUCUUGCCACUUUGUGUGAAUAUUCUUACAGAGAGUCCUGAGCAGUUACUGGUAUCUGUCUCCCAGAACUGUUCUGUGAGCGUUUGUCUUCACCAGACCUGCGAGCUGAGUCAUUCAUUACAUGCUCCUUUCUCAAGGUUGUCAACAUGUUUGAAAGGCUCGUCUGGAGACUCUUCAAAUGUUUGUUCCCAGUUACAAAUAUUUGUGGCUUGCCUUAGAAUCCUCUUGGAUAAACCACAAGUGCUUGAGCCUAGGAUAACUACUUGAUGAAGCAUGCAUGACAAAUGUGUUGAUUACUUCUAUCUAAUUGUUAAUGAGCUUUAAAAAACCCAAAUAAACAACAACCCACAAACUGAAGAGAAAACCAGUACAGCUUUAAGGCCUGGAAGGCCAAGGGUUAGUUUGUUUUAUUGAGACUGGAAGGCAGACAGGUUUCAGAGCCUGAUGUAGACAAGGCCUUACUGUCUCCAUGGAGAAGCGAAAAGCUAAUACGGCAGUGCAAGAGGAAGUGUGCCUGUCUUGGUUUCAGCUGGGACAGAGUUCAUUUUCUUCAUAAUACCUGAUAAGAUACUGUGUUUUGGCUUUUGCAGAAAAAUAGUGUUGAUAACACACCGAUGUUUUGUAGUAGUUGUUACUGAGCAGUGCUGCACAGAGCCAAGUACUUUUCAGUUUCUCAGCAUCUCAUACUAUCCUGCCAUGAAGAGGGGAGAGCACAAGGAACUGGGAGGGGGUCAACCAGGACAGCUGACCUAAACUGGCCAAACUGUGACUGAUAACAUAUGGCAUCACACAGACCAAAAAAAAAAAAAAAAAAAAAAAAAAGAGCCUUGAAAAAUGGCAAGGAGUUGCCCAGGGGAGCAGUUGUAUAUAUAUAUAUAGUUAUCACUAUUAAGAUUAUUAUUGACUCUGUGGUGCUUAGCUACCUGCUGGUUUGAACCACAACAGUAUCUUUUGGGGAUAACUCUCUAUGGCCAUCCAUUGGCCUAGCUCUGGAUUAUCUCUCCCUGCUUUUUUGGGGGGAGGAAAAGCCAGUUUUGUGAAAACUAAAGCCAGACAAAACUGAGCGUUGCUGUCCUCCUAGAGAGUUCUUCCUUUGAAAAUCAAGCAACUCUGUUAUUUCUGCAGGCAUGCAAGAUAGCAGCUAUGCUGCUGGGUUUUACUAAGUGAGGUUUUUAUACUUUUCAUUUCAGAAAUAAUAGUUUAGAAAUAUUGCAGGCUUUUUUGAAACUUGAAGAUAGAAAGUCAUUUUUGUACAACAAUUUUGAUCCUUUUCAAAAUUUUGGUAUUGCUGUAGGCAUUCAUGUGUGGGAGUUGCUUAAAAUUCCUUAGAUACGUGAAUAUGCCUGCUGAAGUCAGUAAUACGUAAAUUGGACACAUGCUGACAUGUUUGUGUUCUAGGCUUCAGAAAAGAAAACAUUUUCUGAGCAAAGAUCUUAUUCGCUAAGCAUCUUAUGUGCCUCCAAACUCAAAAGUUUGAGUGUCUGGAAAAAUGCUGUAAGAUUUUGCUGGGAAAUUUGAUGGCAGUUUUAUUAAUAACAGAAACUUCUUUAGUGUGCUAGCAUUGUGCAUGUUCACGUACCUGUGUCAGUUAGAGCCUUUCUCUAGUGAACACUCCAGAUAAAUCUUAAACUGCAGUCCAGUGAUCAGUGUAUUGGUGUUUCUGAAAGUUAAAGGAGUAAACUUUAAAAUUUCACUUUGCCCCUGAAAUGGGCAGUUCAAUGUCAAUUUGAACUGUGAUAAUGUGAUCACUGUUGGUGUCCAAAAGGGCAAAAGGGUACUGGAUACACCAUAGUAAGGUAGCCUGGAGUUUCUGAGAAAAAUGGCACCUAGCUGGGAGUGUUCUCCUGC